rnacentral:rRNA from 1 species
AUUGAACGCUGGCGGCAUGCUUUACACAUGCAAGUCGAACGGUAACAGGCCGCAAGGUGCUGACGAGUGGCGAACGGGUGCGUAAUGCAUCGGAACGUGCCCAGUCGUGGGGGAUAACUACUCGAAAGAGUAGCUAAUACCGCAUACGAUCUAUGGAUGAAAGCGGGGGACCGUAAGGCCUCGCGCGAUUGGAGCGGCCGAUGUCAGAUUAGGUAGUUGGUGGGGUAAAGGCUCACCAAGCCAAAGAUCUGUAGCUGGUCUGAGAGGACGACCAGCCACACUGGGACUGAGACACGGCCCAGACUCCUACGGGAGGCAGCAGUGGGGAAUUUUGGACAAUGGGCGCAAGCCUGAUCCAGCAAUGCCGCGUGCAGGAAGAAGGCCUUCGGGUUGUAAACUGCUUUUGUACGGAACGAAACGGCUCUGGUUAAUACCCGGGGCUAAUGACGGUACCGUAAGAAUAAGCACCGGCUAACUACGUG